AGGAAUAUUGGUCAAUGGGCGCAAGCCUGAACCAGCCAAGUAGCGUGCAGGAAGACGGCCCUAUGGGUUGUAAACUGCUUUUAUACGAGAAUAAUUUGAUGCACGUGUGCGUUAUUGCAUGUAUCGUAUGAAUAAGGACCGGCUAAUUCCGUGCCAGCAGCCGCGGUAAUACGGAAGGUCCAGGCGUUAUCCGGAUUUAUUGGGUUUAAAGGGAGUGUAGGCGGUUUGUUAAGCGUGUUGUGAAAUUUAGAUGCUCAACAUUUAACUUGCAGCGCGAACUGUCAGACUUGAGUACACGCAACGUAUGCGGAAUUCAUGGUGUAGCGGUGAAAUGCUUAGAUAUCAUGAAGAACUCCGAUUGCGAAGGCAGCAUACGGGAGUGUAACUGACGCUUAAGCUCGAAGGUGCGGGUAUCGAACAGGAUUAGAUACCCUGGUAGUCCGCACAGUAAACGAUGGAUGCCCGCUGUUAGCGCCUGGCGUUAGCGGCUAAGCGAAAGCAUUAAGCAUCCCACCUGGGGAGUACGCCGGCAACGGUGAAACUCAAAGGAAUUGACGGGGGCCC
rnacentral:rRNA from 1 species